UCAAGACCAGCCUGACCAACAUGGAGAAACCCCGUCUCUAUUAAAAAAGUUACAAUAUUAGCCAGCACAUGCCUGUAAUCCUAGCUACUCGGGAGGCUGAGGCAGGAGAAUCGCUUGAACCCGGGAGGCGGAGAUUGCAGUGAGCCAAGAUCGCGCCAUUGCACUCCAGCCUGGGCGACAGAGCAAGACUCCGUCUCAAAAAAAAAAAAAAGAAAAGAAAAACAAGAGUCAGCAAAGAGUGCCCAACUUGAGAAUUUUUGAAUUGGAAGACCUGGGAUCCUUUGGUGGUCAGUGAGGACCUUGACAAGGGCUGGGUAGGUGCCUCAGGAUACAGAGGCAGUUAGGGGCAGAGCUGGCAGCCUCGGGCCAGCACGGGAGGAGUGUGGAGGUGGCUAGCUGGUGUGUGACAGGGAAGACUUUCCAGAAAUGGGAUGGCUGACACAAAGCUCAGCUUUGCAACAUGUGGCAAUGAUGUUGCUUUUAGACAGGCAGAGUAGCAGAUGCAAAGGCUGGACUGCUCCCUGAAAGCAUCAAUGAGGGAAGGUGAACAGAAAACAAAUAGGACCUUUCCAGUGGAUAGGAUGUUAUCGUGCAGAAGCAGCCAAGUCUAGCCAGUGGGCUGCUUCUGCGGUCAGAGGGCUCACUGAACAAGCUGCCCGCUCCUCUGACAGACUUGUUUGUCCAGUCCUGCCUCCCAGCCCUGUACCGCAGCCCCUUUAGUACUAGAGCCCCACAGGGGGCCUGCAGCUGUGGGUCAGGAGGCCUGUGUUCCAGCUCCAGCCCUGUUACUAGCUCAACUCCCACAGGGGCCUUGGGCUAGUCACCGGCCAUUCUGAAACAUAAUUUCCUAAGCUGUAAGAUGAGGGGCUGUAGAAGAGGGAUCUCUUCUAGCUCUCGGCCUCUGGGUACAGGUGUCUCCGUCUCUCCAUUGUGGGUACCCCUCAGCACGGAUCUUCUUAGGAACACUGUCAAUUCUCUCAAAUGACUGUGCUUCCUUUGGAAUCUGCACAGCAAUGAACUUCUAAGUCCUGAGCUCUACCAAAUGAAUCUGAUACUGCAGAAUAGGGUGGGUUUUUUUUGUUUUUUUUUUUGGAGAUGGUCUCGCUCUGUCACCCAGGCUGGAGUGCAGUGGCACGAUCUCAGCUCACUGCAACCUCAGACUCUCAGGUUCAAGCAGUUUUCCUGCCUCAGCCUCCCAGGUAGCUGGGACUACAGAUGUGUGUCACCACACCUGGCUAGUUUUGUAUUUUUAGUAGAGAUGGGGUUUCACCAUGUUGGCCGGGCUGGUCUUGAACUCCUGGCCUCAAGUCAUCCAUCCGCCUUGACCUCUCACAGUGCUAGGAUUAUAGGCAUGAGCCACCAUGCUCAGAAUAGAGCUUUUAAAGUAGCACUUCUCCACUAUGGCUCCUAGGCUUGGCCAUACUCCAGAUGAAUAGAUCAAAAUCUUUGAGGAAGGGUCAGGCAUCAGUUUUUUUUUUCUUUUUUUCAGACAGGGUCUCACUCUGUUGCCCAGGCUGAAAUGCAGUGGUGUGAUCAUGACUCACUGUAGCCUCAACCUCCAGGGCUCAAGUGACCCUCCUACCUCAGCCUCUUGGAUAGCUGGGACUACAGGCAUGCACUACCACGCCCACCUAAUCUUUUUUUUUUUUUUUUUUUGAGAUGUAGUCUCGCUCUGUCACCCAGGCUGGAGUGCAGUGGCGCUGUCUCCGCUCACUACAAGCACCGCCUCCCGGGUUCAUGCCAUUCUCCUGCCUCAGCCUCCC
rnacentral:lncRNA from 10 species